rnacentral:lncRNA from 1 species
UGAAAAUCUGUUUGCAACCUUUUCUUUCUCAUUUAACAACAGCACACUGCUGGACCCAUACAUAGUUGCAUCAACACACACACACACACACACACACACACACACAUACAUAAACCCAUCACCUUCACGUUAAAGAAGUGUGGUUGGCAGUUGGGUUAGAAGGGGAGAUGAUGAGAAUGCCCCAGAGGGCUCCUUGGCUUCCUGUCAUUCCCACAGAAAACACUCUGCUGGAGUCUAAGUUUCCCAUCCAGCAUAAGCUGAACUGUAAACAUCAUCAAGACACGAAGGACUUGGAGAUGUGGAUGAGAGAAAGAGCUGAAAACACUCAUCCUUGAGAGAGAAGGGACAGAAUCAGCACCUUUCCCCUCUGGUCUCCUGAGGGACUUCUUUCCCAUCUCCCAGCUCCACAUCAAUGCUGCUGCCCCUGGCUUUGUAGUGACACAGGGUAGGUGCUGAAUUAGAAAAUCAGCAUAAGGACUGGCAGUGUUUUAGCUCACCCAGCAGUGCCACCUCUUCCAAGCUGUGCACAAAGCCCCUUUCCACCCUUUCCAGCUGCAAGACACAACCCAAGGGAAAGAGACUGCAUCUCUGAUGUCAUUCACGUUAUAGAGUGAGGCCAGUAGGCAGGUGUCUCCAGGUAUGAAUGCCUAAGUGAGAGCAGCUUAUAAAGAAGACACCAGGCUUGGAGGCUAAGGUGAGUGGGGGAAGUCUGUAUGUCAGUCAGGUUCUCAUGCAACACAAACAUAAGGACUGGGUUUGAAUUUAGUCAGUGCUGGGGUAGAUUUUAGGAUUUUAGACCUACCGUUAAGGCUUGUCAGUGGCAUGGGUGCAAGGCUUUAUUUAUUUAUUUAUUGUUUUUGAGAUGGAGUCUAGCUUUGUCAUCCAGGCUGGAGUGUAUUGGCAUGAUCUCAGCUCACUGCAAUCCCACAUCCCAGGUUCAAGUGAUUCUCCUACCUCAGCCUCCCAAGUAGCUGGGAUUACAAGUGCCCGCCACCAUGCCCCGCUAAUUUUUGUAUUUUUAGUAGAGAUGGGGUUUCACUGUGUUGGCCAGGCUGGUCUUGAACUCCUGACCUGAUGAUCCGCCCACCUCAGCCUGCCAAACUGCUGGGAUUACAAGCGUGAGCUACCGCGCCUGGCCGGGUGCAAGGCUUUUUAAAAUUAGAAUGUCAUUGCUGUGUGGCCA